UACGUAGGGGGCAAGCGUUGUCCGGAUUUACUGGGCGUAAAGAGCGUGUAGGCGGCCAUGCAGGUCCGUUGUGAAAACUGGAGGCUUAACCUCCAGACGUCGACGGAAACCGCGUGGCUAGAGUCCGGAAGAGGAGAGUGGAAUUCCUGGUGUAGCGGUGAAAUGCGCAGAUAUCAGGAAGAACAGCAAUGGCGAAGGCAGCUCUCUGGGACGGUACUGACGCUGAGACGCGAAAGCGUGGGGAGCGAACAGG
rnacentral:rRNA from 1 species